UCCUUUUCUCAGUGGACUGCUCGCUGUGAAAGCGGAGGGAGUAGUUGGUCCUCCUCAGCUUUAUUCCAAAAGACAGCCCAACCGGAAAAGUUUUGUGCGGAUCUGUGAUAACUUUUCAUCACCAAGGGGUUGAGAAUAGACACACCAACUCUGAAGUUGAUCGGAUGAAUGCUGUAGGACAAGAUGGCAAAAAAGAUUUACCUUUGGCUCUGUGUGUGCUGGCUCGGCUUCUACCUGAGCCAAAACCUUCAGAGGACUCCGGGGAACCUCCUCCUCAUC